AGCCGUUCCUCUAAUUUAAUAAUUCUACACAGUUCUCUGUUAUAAAUCUACUCAGAUGAAUAUUCUAUUAUUUAGAUGUACAAUAUAAGGAAAAUACUAAAAAAUUAUGUCAAUUUUAUAUGAUAUAAUCAAGAAGUUCUAUUUCUGUGGAAGGAUUACAUAUGAUACAUUGAACAAAAUUUAAUUAUACUACACAAUUCAUAUUAUUUCUACGGAAAAGGAAUCUUAACCUCACAAAUAAGGAAUUUUAUCCAUUGUCAACAUAUCGCCCAGGCAUUCGACAAGGCCUGGCACGAUGGACUACUAUACAAAAUCAGGAAAAACUUCUGCAUAAACUUUUCUGAAUAGAUCAAAAAACAACAAUGGACUCAAAGAAAGGAUACAUAUUGAGGUUACACAAAUAAUUCAAAGUUAUAAAGAAGCUUCCGAAUUUACGUCACGUCUUUCUCAUCGUAUUUUAUUUGAAGGUAAACGAUUUUAGAACUUAAUUCAGCUUUCAUUUUAUUUAAUGAUUAAUAUAAUUUAUUGUCAUAAUAAACAUUUAUUGAUUUUCUAGACAAAUACAUACAUCAACUACUCAAACAAUAAAAUAUAGUUGGACGGGUAUUUAAAAGACCUCUCAAAUAAUGUUCGUUUCGAAAUGUCAAAUUUUUAUCUGUCAUUCAAAAAUUAUAAGAAAACUAAUUUUUUAACAGAAGAGACCUAAAAUCAAGUAGUGCGUGAUUUUGAUUAAAGCUAUUAGCUGUGGGUUAAUUUUAAAUAAACUGCAGAAACAAACAUCUUAGGCAUAUAUUACAUUUUUAUUUUAGUAAAGGAAAUAAACCUGCUACGGCUCACAAAGAAAUAUGUGAAGUUUAUGGUGAUGAUUGCUUAACAUAAGCAAUAUAAGCAACGUUCUUGUCGGCCUACUGAAGUUGAUGAUGACCAAAUCAAAGUCAUAAAUGAAGAAGAUCGUCAUACAACUGUUCGAAAGGUUGCAAAGAGGCUACAUGUACCGCACACAACAAUUGAAAAAUACUUAAAAUGUCUUAGGCUAGUUAAUAAGCUUGAUAUUUGGGUACCUCACGAAUUGAAAUAAAUUCAUUUCACACAAAGAAUCAACAUUUGCGAAUCAUCACUUUUGAUGGUGAUGAAAAUAGUACAGUUUGGAAACGAUAAUGGAGUGAACAUGAUUAACCAACACAAACCACAUCGAAGGCCGAAAAACAAUAAAAAAAUCCUGCUUUCAAGGAACCAAACGAUCAAUUUUAUUGUUUAAUGUCAACAAUUAAUGAAACUGAAUGCAGCAAUCGAAAAAAAAAAAACAGUCAGAAUUGUCAAAUGCAAGACCUCAUACAUCUUUGGCAACUCGUGGGAAACUAAUGGAACUAGGCUGGAAAGUGAUCCCGCGUACAGCCCUGAUUUGGCACCAUCUGAUAACCAUUUAUUUCGGAGUUUGCAGAAUUCUUUAAAUGGUCAAACUUUCACAAAUGAGGAUGACCUUCAAUCGCACCUGGUUCAGUUUUUUGCUGAUAAGGACUAGAAAUUUUAUGAGCGCGAAAUUAUGUAGCUGAAAGAAAGAUGGCAAAAGGUUAUUGAGCAAAAAUAUAUAAUCAAUUGAAAACUAUUUUUUCAUAUUUUUGUUUUUUUUUUUUUAUUUUAAACCACAAAGUCGAAAUUACUGUCGCCAACCAAUAUGUAAAAAAAAGGCGCUGUUUAUAUCUUAACUAUUUAUGAUUUAAUCUACUAUAGUAGAUUCAUAUAUUUAUAUAAAAAUAUCUUCAAGGUAUAGGUGCAGAGUGGCUGUAAAGCCAAACGACUCGCCAAGAUAACCUACAAUCUUCGACUACUUCUAGGCGUUCAUUGCAGUUCUUGAACAAGAAAAUACUGUUAACGAAUAAAAUUAUGACUUGAAAAAUUAUGUAAGACUCACUUCUCCAUAUUCUUUACUAUAUGUACUGGUAACAACUUCGCCAGGGAGUUUUCCCUUUUUUCUAAUAGGCACAAAAGGGAAAUCGAACUCCAGUGAUAUUAAGGGACCAAAUAAAAAUCCUCUGGAAUCAAGACUUACUACACAAUCUGGAGGCGGAUGAAUAUUCUUUACAGCUUCUAUGAGUACUUCCUUUAAUAUUUUAAAUAUUUUAGGUUUUUGUAGAACAGAAAAAAUGUCCC